rnacentral:rRNA from 1 species
UAGGGAAUCUUCGGCAAUGGGGGGAACCCUGACCGAGCAACGCCGCGUGAGUGAAGAAGGCUUUCGGAUCGUAAAGCUCUGUUGUUAAGGAAGAACGAGUGUGAGAAUGGAAAGUUCAUGCUGUGACGGUACUUAACCAGAAAGGGACGGCUAACUACGUGCCAGCAGCCGCGGUAAUACGUAGGUCCCGAGCGUUGUCCGGAUUUAUUGGGCGUAAAGCGAGCGCAGGCGGUUAGAUAAGUCUGAAGUUAAAGGCAGUGGCUCAACCAUUGUAGGCUUUGGAAACUGUUUAACUUGAGUGCAGAAGGGGAGAGUGGAAUUCCAUGUGUAGCGGUGAAAUGCGUAGAUAUAUGGAGGAACACCGGUGGCGAAAGCGGCUCUCUGGUCUGUAACUGACGCUGAGGCUCGAAAGCGUGGGGAGCGAACAGG